rnacentral:rRNA from 1 species
CGAAAGGGCACUCUAAUGAGACUGCCGGUGACAAACCGGAGGAAGGUGGGGAUGACGUCAAGUCCUCAUGGCCCUUAUAGGGUGGGGCUACACACGUCAUACAAUGGCUGGUAACGAAAGGGUUGCCAACCCGCGAGGGGGAGCCAAUCCCAUAAAGCCAGUCGUAGUCCGGAUCGCAGUCUGCAACUCGACUGCGUGAAGUCGGAAUCGCUAGUAAUCGUGGAUCAGCAUGUCACGGUGAAUACGUUCCCGGGUCUU